rnacentral:lncRNA from 1 species
CCCAGCCCUGCAGCUUGUUAAUGUUUGAUACAUGGUCAACUUUCAUUCAUCCAGAGUUAUCCAGGGGAUUGAGGCUCCUUAGGCCCAGGCAGAUGCUCUAGACACAGUGAUCUCCAGAACACCCUGGGACAUCAAUACUUGCAUCGGGUCCCCUGGGGAGUCCACCCUGACACCACCCUCAGGCCCUAAGCCUUCAGCACCAGGAAAAGGAUAAACAUGGAGACCCAGAGUCCAGCCUGAUCUUGGGCUUCUCUCCCCUGUCUCCAGGAGCUGGCAUGGCUGUUCCCCAUACUGCAGACAUCACUCCCCAAACCCUCCACCAUGGCCCUGCUUCCCAAUUUUUCUUUAGGGGAAGAGCUUGUCUGUUCCCCUCUCCAGGUGUGAGUUCCACAGCAACAAGCAGGAACCUCAUCUGUCUGCUGUAGUCUCUGGCAUCACACUUCACGAAAGUCUCAACUCAAAGAUAUGGCUGGAUGGAGGAAGGAAUAUAGGGAGAUGGAGAACUCUCAACUACUUCCUCAGCACCAUGUCUGCCUGUGUGCUACCAUGCUCCCUGCCAUCACAAUGGACUAUACCUCUGAAACUGUUAAAAGUCUAGUACGUCAG